rnacentral:rRNA from 1 species
GACGAACGCUGGCGGCGUGCCUAAUCCAUGCAAGUCGAACGAGAGGCGGACGGGUGUGGAAUGUAUGGGGACUGCCCGAUAGAGGGGGAUAACUACUGGAAACGGUAGCUAAUCAAGCAUACUAUCGGAUAACCCAUAUGGGAUUAGCUAGUAGGUGAGGUAAUGGCGCACCUAGUCGACGAUCCCUAGCUGGUCUGAGAGGAUGAUCAGCCACACUGGGACUGAGACACGGCCCAGACUCCUACGGAGGCAGCAGUGGGGAAUAUUGCACAAUGGGCGCAAGCCGGAUGCAGCCAUGCCGCGUGUAUGAAGAAGGCCCUAGGGUUGUAAAGUACUUUCAGUCGGGAGGCGUUACCGACAGAAGAAGCACCGGCUAACUCCGUGCCAGCAGCCGCGGUAAUAC